rnacentral:rRNA from 1 species
AGGCUUCCAAGAAAAACCUCUAAGCUUCAGAUUAUAAGAACCCGUACCGUAAACCGACACAGGUAGUUGGGAUGAGAAUUCUAAGGUGCUCGAGAGAUUCAUGGCUAAGGAACUAGGCAAAAUAGACCUGUAACUUCGGGAGAAAGGUCGCCCUCAGUAAUGAGGGCCGCAGUGAAAAGGUCCAGGCGACUGUUUAUCAAAAACACAGGGCUUUGCUAAAUUGAAAGAUGAUGUAUAAGGCCUGACACCUGCCCGGUGCUGGAAGGUUAAGAGGAAGGGUUAGCGCAAGCGAAGCUCUGAAUUUAAGCCCCAGUAAACGGCGGUGGUAACUAUAACCAUCCUAAGGUAGCGAAAUUCCUUGUCGGGUAAAUUCCGACCUGCACGAAUGGUGUAACGAUUUGGGCACUGUCUCGGCCAUGCGCUCGGUGAAAUUGUAGUUCCGGUGAAGAUGCCGGAUACCCGCGAUGGGACGAAAAGACCCCGUGAACCUUUACUACAGCUUGCCAUUGGCAGCGUGCACGUUAUGUGUAGGAUAGGUGGGAGGCUACGAACCUGGUGCGCUAGCACUGGGGGAGCCGUUGGUGAAAUACCACCCUUAUCGUGUGUGCUGCCUAACCCCUGGGACAGUGGCUGGUGGGUAGUUUGACUGGGGUGGUCGCCUCCAAA